rnacentral:rRNA from 1 species
UGCAUAUCAAAAAGCGGAGGAAAAGAAACCAACAGGGAUUGCCUUAGUAGCGGCGAGUGAAGCGGCAAAAGCUCAAAUUUGAAAUCUGGCUCUUUCAGAGUCCGAGUUGUAAUUUGAAGAAGGUAUCUUUGGGUCUGGCUCUUGUCUAUGUUUCUUGGAACAGAACGUCACAGAGGGUGAGAAUCCCGUGCGAUGAGAUGAUCCAGGCCUAUGUAAAGUUCCUUCGAAGAGUCGAGUUGUUUGGGAAUGCAGCUCUAAGUGGGUGGUAAAUUCCAUCUAAAGCUAAAUAUUGGCGAGAGACCGAUAGCGAACAAGUACAGUGAUGGAAAGAUGAAAAGAACUUUGAAAAGAGAGUGAAAAAGUACGUGAAAUUGUUGAAAGGGAAGGGCUUGAGAUCAGACUUGGUAUUUUGUAUGUUACUUCUUCGGGGGUGGCCUCUACAGUUUAUCGGGCCAGCAUCAGUUUGGGCGGUAGGAGAAUUGCGUUGGAAUGUGGCACGGCUUCGGUUGUGUGUUAUAGCCUUCGUCGAUACUGCCAGCCUAGACUGAGGACUGCGGUUUAUACCUAGGAUGUUGGCAUAAUGAUCUUAAGUCGCCCGUCUUGAAACACGGACCCA